rnacentral:rRNA from 1 species
GAUGAACGCUGGCGGCGUGCUUAACACAUGCAAGUCGAACGGUGAACGAGGGAGCUUGCUCCCUCCGGAUCAGUGGCGAACGGGUGAGUAACACGUGAGCAAUCUGCCCCGAACUCUGGGAUAAGCGCUGGAAACGGCGUCUAAUACCGGAUACGACGCGCGAAGGCAUCUUCUGCGCGUGGAAAGAAUUUCGGUUCGGGAUGAGCUCGCGGCCUAUCAGCUAGUUGGUGAGGUAACGGCUCACCAAGGCGACGACGGGUAGCCGGCCUGGAAGGGUGACCGGCAACACUGGGACUGAGACACGGCCCAGACUCCUACGGGAGGCAGCAGUGGGGAAUAUUGCACAAUGGGCGCAAGCCUGAUGCAGCAACGCCGCGUGAGGGACGACGGCCUUCGGGUUGUAAACCUCUUUUAGUAGGGAAGAAGCGAAAGUGACGGUACCUGCAGAAAAAGCACCGGCUAACUACGUGCCAGCCGCCGCAGUAACAC